rnacentral:rRNA from 1 species
AUUAAACGCUGGCGGCAUGCCUUACACAUGCAAGUCGAACGGCAGCACGGACUUCGGUCUGGUGGCGAGUGGUGAACGGGUGAGUAAUACAUCGGAACGUGCCCAGUAAUGGGGGAUAACGCAGCGAAAGUUGUGCUGAUACCGCAUACGCCCUGAGGGGGAAAGUGGGGGAUCGCAAGACCUUAUGUUAUUGGAGCGGCCGAUGGCUGAUUAGCUAGUUGGUGAGGUAAAGGCUCACCAAGGCGACGAUCAGUAGCUGGUCUGAGAGGACGACCAGCCACACUGGGACUGAGACACGGCCCAGACUCCUACGGGAGGCAGCAGUGGGGAAUUUUGGACAAUGGGCGAAAGCCUGAUCCAGCAAUGCCGCGUGUGCGAAGAAGGCCUUCGGGUUGUAAACCGCUUUUGUCAGGGAAGAAACGCUCUGGGUUAAUACCUCGGGGUAAUGACGGUACCUGAAGAAUAAGCACCGGCUAACUACGUGCCAGCAGCCGCCGUAACAC